rnacentral:lncRNA from 1 species
UGACACCAGGCUGAUUGUUAAUCCUUUUUAGGUGAUGUACUUUUUUCUUCCUGGAAGCUUUUUGAGUCUGCUCGUUUUUAAGAAGGUCACUGUGAGGUGUGCAGGUCUUUCGCUAUUUAUCCAGGUUGUAAGCUGUUUGUGAGGAGAUGGGGAAUUUGAGGGGGGAGAAGCCUUGGGCAUAUUUGAGGAGGAAGGAGCCAGUGAAGAAGCAGAGUUUAGGGAAGCCAGGGUUCGCCGGUUUGGAUCCCGGGUGUGGACAUGGCACCGCUCAGAAGACCAUGCUGUGGCAGGCGUCCCACAUAUAAAGUGGAGGAAGAUGGGCACGGAUGUUAGCUCAAGGCCAGGCUUCUUCAGCAAAAAGAGGAGGAUUGGCGGCAGAUGUUAGCUGAGGGCUAAUCUUCCUCAAAAAAAUUUAAAAAAAUAAAUUAAAAAAAAAGAAAAAUAGUGGCAGUCCUACGAACAGGCAUGUCGUUUGCUUUUUCACCAAGGCGGACAGAUCUGAUUCACAGAUGAUUCACUUUAUUUCAGUGCCUUU